UCAAUGGAAUCCAACGUAUCU
ensembl:piRNA 21ur-2029 ncRNA